CCUACGGGAGGCAGCAGUGGGGAAUAUUGCACAAUGGGCGCAAGCCUGAUGCAGCCAUGCCGCGUGUGUGAAGAAGGCCUUCGGGUUGUAAAGCACUUUCAGCGGGGAGGAAGGCGUUAAGGUUAAUAACCUUGUCGAUUGACGUUACCCGCAGAAGAAGCACCGGCUAACUCGGUGCCAGCAGCCGCGGUAAUACGGAGGGUGCAAGCGUUAAUCGGAAUUACUGGGCGUAAAGCGCACGCAGGCGGUCUGUCAAGUCGGAUGUGAAAUCCCCGGGCUCAACCUGGGAACUGCAUUCGAAACUGGCAGGCUAGAGUCUUGUAGAGGGGGGUAGAAUUCCAGGUGUAGCGGUGAAAUGCGUAGAGAUCUGGAGGAAUACCGGUGGCGAAGGCGGCCCCCUGGACAAAGACUGACGCUCAGGUGCGAAAGCGUGGGGAGCAAACAGGAUUAGAUACCCCAGUAGUC
rnacentral:rRNA from 1 species